GGAGGUGGCGGCGAGGAGGAGGGCGGCACGGAGCCACGGCCGCGCGCCCCUGGCAGGGACCCUGCGUGCUGUGGCGGCGGGUGCGGUGCGGGCGGGCGGGCUGAGGGCCACUCGCCGCCGCCUCGGGCGCUGGGAGCACCGGCAGCCGCGCCGUCCUCGGGACUCGCUCCGCAGGCAGAAAGGGGGAGAAUGACGGAGCUCCAGUCCGCCUUGUUACUGCGGAGACAGCUAGCAGAGCUCAACAAAAAUCCAGUGGAAGGCUUUUCAGCGGGCUUAAUAGAUGACAAUGAUCUUUAUCGAUGGGAAGUCCUUAUUAUUGGUCCUCCAGAUACACUAUAUGAAGGUGGUGUUUUCAAGGCUCAUCUGACUUUUCCAAAAGACUACCCACUGAGGCCACCAAAAAUGAAGUUCAUCACAGAAAUCUGGCAUCCGAAUGUCGACAAGAAUGGUGAUGUCUGCAUUUCCAUUCUUCAUGAGCCUGGAGAAGACAAAUAUGGCUAUGAAAAACCUGAGGAACGCUGGCUUCCCAUUCACACAGUGGAAACUAUUAUGAUUAGUGUAAUUUCUAUGCUGGCAGAUCCCAAUGGUGAUUCUCCUGCUAAUGUUGAUGCAGCGAAAGAAUGGAGAGAAGACAGAAAUGGAGAAUUUAAAAGAAAAGUUGCCCGCUGUGUAAGAAAAAGCCAAGAAACUGCUUUUGAGUGACACUUAUUCAGCAGCUAGUAGCUUCACUUUUUUCAGGGUGAUGAUUUUGGAUUUAUGCAUCUUCUCUAUAGAGGUCUCCAAUUGAGAAACAUGGCACUGUUUUUUUCCUGCACUCUACCCACCUAUUGCUGGACUUCUGUUGUUACAAGUUGGCAAAUACUGGCUGGAACUGGGCUGCAAUAAAACAUGCCAGUUAUCAAUGCUGACAAGAGCCUAACAAGUGCCAACACAAGAUGAUUACGCAUUUUGAAAUCUAAUGAACUGCUUUAACCUUCAGGAAGAAUUGUAAAGAUGUGUACAUAGCACAACAUGAUCCGGAUAAUAUAUAUACUGUUCAUGUACAUCCACAAAUACACAUUGUACCAAAUAAUGCUGUCUGUAGGUAGGAAUAGAAUCGUGUAAAUUCUAAAGAUUUUAGCAGUUUUUUUCCCUAUUCAUUGUUUCCUAUCAGUUUGCAGAAAAAGCAAAACAAAACAACAAAAACAACCAACAACUUGUGAAGCAUGUCAAACUAAAACCAAUUAGGAUUAAAGUCCUUUUUUUCCCCACUUUAAUUUUCCUUUGACCCACUGAGGCUUAAUUAAAAUUUCUUGUUAUUGAAGUUUAGUAUCUUUUGUUUUGUGUUUGUUUUUUUUGGAAAUGUGCUCCCUUUUAUUCCCUCAUCAGAACUUAAAGUUUUCCUAAUUAAACCCUGAAGGGAUUUGCUAUCAAUUACUUGUGUCUUCUUUUAUGAUGACCUUUGUAGUCCCUAAGGUGCUUUUUUUUUUUUCCUUCUUACCACCCCCCCCUUUUUUUUAAACAAAAUAACCAAUUGCACAUGCUUCUUGAAUUGGGUAUAGCAAUAAAACUGGCCAUGGAGCAUCCUUGAGCAGCCUGCUGGGUUUUACCUUCCGAGGGACUUGAGCGCUUUUGUUCAGAAGUUGAGUUGACUAAGUUAGUCUAGUCCAAGAUGGGGAUAAGCUGCUUUCUAUGGGUGACUUUUUUUUUUUGCCUUUUCCAUUGCCUGUUUGUGGGGUGGGGUGUGUGAGGGAGAUGUUUUUUCUCAAGGUUGAAUUCAAGCAUGCGCAUCUGUAGGCUUUCAAAUGACUAACUUCUGGGUUUGGUAUCAGAACUAGUUUUUUCUUCUUAUCCCUUUUCUCUCUCUCUUCUGUGGCCCUUCAUAUUCUUUGCCUUCUACUUCAGAGUUUUCCUCACCUAAUGUACAAAGAAAAUUGCGAUGUAUAUUUUCAUGUAAUUUGAUUUUUUGGAAUUCUGUCACCUUCUGUAGUGAGUUCUUCCAAAAUAUAAUUUUUUCCAAUA